CCAAUGGCUUUACUAGGCACUUUAUUACAACAAAAGCCACAAAACAUGAUUAAUAAAUUAGAUU
rfam:Hordeum vulgare subsp. vulgare, WGS project CAJW01000000 data, contig: morex_contig_73446